CCGUAAGGUGGUACCAGAAUAAGGGCUGGGCAAGACCGGUGCCAGCCGCCGCGGUAAUACGGCAGCCCAAGUGAUGGCCGAUCUUAUUGGGCCUAAAGCGUCCGUAGCUGGCCGCGCAAGUCCAUCGGGAAAUCCACCUGCUCAACAGGUGGGCGCCCGGUAGAAACUGCGUGGCUUGGGACCGGAAGGCGCGACGGGUACGUCCGGGGUAGGAGUGAAAUCCCGUAAUCCUGGACGGACCGCCGAUGGCGAAAGCACGUCGCGAGGACGGAUCCGACAGUGAGGGACGAAAGCCAGGGUCUCGAACCGGAUUAGAUACCCGGGUAGUCCUGGCCGUAAACAAUGUCUGCUAGGUGUGGCUCCCACUACGAGUGGGUGCUGUGCCGUAGGGAAGCCGCUAAGCAGACCGCCUGGGAAGUACGUCCGCAAGGAUGAAACUUAAAGGAAUUGGCGGGGGAGCACUACAACCGGAGGAGCCUGCGGUUUAAUUGGACUCAACGCCGGACAUCUCACCAGCAUCGACUGUAAUAAUGACGACCAGGUUGAUGACCUUGUCCGAGUUUCAGAGAGGAGGUGCAU
rnacentral:rRNA from 1 species